AUUGAACGCUGGCGGCAGGCUUAACGCAUGCAAGUCGAGCGGAGUGAUGGUGCUUGCACUAUCACUUAGCGGCGGACGGGUGAGUAAUGCUUAGGAAUCUGCCUAUUAGUGGGGGACAACAUCUCGAAAGGGAUGCUAAUACCGCAUACGUCCUACGGGAGAAAGCAGGGGAUCACUUGUGACCUUGCGCUAAUAGAUGAGCCUAAGUCGGAUUAGCUAGUUGGUGGGGUAAAGGCCUACCAAGGCGACGAUCUGUAGCGGGUCUGAGAGGAUGAUCCGCCACACUGGGACUGAGGCACGGCCCAGACUCCUACGGGAGGCAGCAGUGGGGAAUAUUGGACAAUGGGGGGAACCCUGAUCCAGCCGUGCCGCGUGUGUGAAGAAGGCCUUAUGGUUGUAAAGCACUUUAAGCGAGGAGGAGGCUCUUUUGGUUAAUACCCAAGAUGAGUGGACGUUACUCGCAGAAUAAGCACCGGCUAACUCUGUGCCAGCCGCCGCCGUAAGAC
rnacentral:rRNA from 1 species